rnacentral:rRNA from 1 species
UACGGAGGGUGCAAGCGUUAUCCGGAUUCACUGGGUUUAAAGGGUGCGUAGGUGGGUUGUAAGUCAGUGGUGAAAUCUCCAGGCUUAACCUGGAAACUGCCAUUGAUACUAUAGAUCUUGAAUUUUCUGGAGGUAAGCGGAAUAUGUCAUGUAGCGGUGAAAUGCUUAGAUAUGACAUAGAACACCAAUUGCGAAGGCAGCUUGCUACAGGAAUAUUGACACUGAGGCACGAAAGCCAGGGGAGCAAACGGGG